CCUGCCCAGAAGCGGGGGAUAACACCUGGAAACAGAUGCUAAUACCGCAUAACAACUUGGACCGCAUGGUCCGAGCUUGAAAGAUGGCUUCGGCUAUCACUUUUGGAUGGUCCCGCGGCGUAUUAGCUAGAUGGUGGGGUAACGGCUCACCAUGGCAAUGAUACGUAGCCGACCUGAGAGGGUAAUCGGCCACAUUGGGACUGAGACACGGCCCAAACUCCUACGGGAGGCAGCAGUAGGGAAUCUUCCACAAUGGACGAAAGUCUGAUGGAGCAACGCCGCGUGAGUGAAGAAGGGUUUCGGCUUGUAAAACUCUGUUGUUAAAGAAGAACAUAUCUGAGAGUAACUGUUCAGGUAUUGACGGUAUUUAACCAGAAAGCCACGGCUAACUACGUGCCAGCAGCCGCGGUAAUACGUAGGUGGCAAGCGUUGUCCGGAUUUAUUGGGCGUAAAGCGAGCGCAGGCGGUUUUUUAAGUCUGAUGUGAAAGCCUUCGGCUCAACCGAAGGAGUGCAUCGGAAACUGGGAAACUUGAGUGCAGAAGAGGACAGUGGAACUCCAUGUGUAGCGGUGAAAUGCGUAGAUAUAUGGGAAGAAACACCAGUGGCGAAGGCGGGCUGUCUGGUCUGUAAACUGACGCUGAGGCCUCGAAAGU
rnacentral:rRNA from 1 species